rnacentral:tRNA from 1 species
UAGGAUAAUAGUUAAUAAUAACAUUUAACUUGCACUUAAAAAUAAUUGAAUAAUCAAUUUAUCUUAAAC